AAGGUCUAGGUCUAAGUAGAAGC
rnacentral:siRNA from 1 species